UAAAUAUGGAAUAGAAAUCUUGAGUGCCUGCAGACGUUGCCUAAUAACUAAAAAGAGACAAACACAGCAGGUCUCUCCUGGCUCCAGUAAGGAGGCAGUAAUUCACUAAAGAAGGGACUCUGCACCUGCUGUGAUGGCUGCUUUAUGCUCAUUUGUGCACCAGAGGCUGUCUGUGCAUAACCAUAUAAGUGUAAAGUGGAGGAAGUAACAUCACUACUGUGGGUCUGGAGGUAGAGAGCUGUAUAAGGAUCCCAAACAAAAAAAGAGAGACAGAAUAGCCUUCAAAGUUUCCUUUGGAAAGCCCUUGCUUUUUCUUCUACUAUAAAUAAUCUGGCAGUGAUUUUUAAUAAGAAUCAUUUGGCAAAAUAUGAAGAUAUCAAUCACAAGUGCUAUGAAACAUUUCAGAAAAACUCAUCCAUUCAUUCAUCCAACCAGCUUUGAUUGAUUGCUGAGGUGACCUUGAAACUGACACCUGAAGGAUGAGUAAAGCUAAUCUGAAGCAAGGAAAUAUCCAUCUGCUGGAAAUGGCAAAUAGAAAUGGAAAAAAAGAGUAGUUGAUAUUCAACUACUGACUACCAAAAUGGCAUUUUUGAGUCAUUUUUUAUGACAAGAUUCUUAGAAGCUAAGCACUGUGGAAAGAGAAAAUAAAUCUCUAAUUUUUUUUCUACUCUUCUGAAAUAUCAAGAAGCAGGACAGGCUGACCUGAACAUCAAGUUCCCAUGGGUACAGAGAAUCAGAAGACAUACAUCCUUUCCAUAUAGGAAAGUGAACAAAUUUUACUUCUUUCAGCAUAAAAGACUGUGGGAAGAAAAAUUUAAAGAGACAUGGAGGAAGUUCAGUUCCUUAGGCAUUCUCCCCACAAAGCCCCACCUCCUCCAUUUUCCCACCAACUCCAGGGGAUUUUCCUCCUACUUCUUAUUUGCAACUCUUGAAAGAGAUGAUCUCAUAGGGUACUAUCUUGUAUCAAAACAAAAAUAAAGAGCAAACUACAUAAAACCAGAAAACAAUGGAAAAGUUUGGCUUGUUUAUAAGACUUGAGCUAGCCCUGCAAAUGCUCCAUCAUCUCAUUUAGUGUAUGAAAAAGAUUCAGAAAUUUGUAUGCAAGAGGAGGAGCCAUAAGGAAAGCAAUCAAGCCAUUAGACUUGUAUGGGAUUGCUGCAACAGUGUUCAGAGCUCUUAUCAAAAGGAUCCUAAUCUUAGGAAGCUGAGUACAGUGGGCUGAAACUGAGAGGGUUAUGCAAUGCUAGACAAGAGCCACAUUAGAGCUUAGUGAGCCAGGGUGGAGCACUGGGGCCUAACCAGCUAAGAGAAACAAAAGCACAGUAAAACCUGUGAGACAGAGGGGCAAUAAGUCCCAACCAGCUUUGUCAUAGAGGACCUAGAAAUCAAUGCAGGAUUUAUUCAUGGGCCCUGGAUCUUAUUUGUGGAUCUUAGAUUCUCUCUCUCCAGCCUUUGUGAGACUUGAAACCCCUCCCUAACAUUCUCAGAUGCUAUCCUAAGGGAAAGCCAGGGGUAUGGAAAGCAAGCUGAAAGAGUGAGCAUUAGAAUCCUCAAGGAUAAGGAAUUAUCUCUGAGAAACUAUUCAAUCCCCAAGAGUCUGUGAUACCAUUACUUAAUGAAUUUAAGUUUAUUUUGGCCCUCCUGGAUGAAGGACUAGCGGAAUAGAUCCAUUUUAGAAAUUAAAGAAAUUACUUUUUUUUAAUUUGAAAAAUAAAGUGUUCAAUCAUCAACUCUACUACACAAAUCAUUUUCUAAACAUGUUUACCUUCCCUUUUAGAUAGCGAGUAUAUUGUGUAAAGACCUGAGUUUUCUGUUUGUUUGCUUGUUUGUUUUGUUUUUUAAAAAUCUUCAGUGCAGUGUUCAGAACACUUAUCAAAAGGAUCCUAAUCCUAGGAAGCUGAGUACAGUGGGCUCAGCUUUCAAAAAUGGCACCUUUCAAAAGUGGUAAUGGGUGUGAAUAUAGAGAAAAAAUAAUCUAAGUAUCCUUUGAUUUAUAGGAUAUAUAAGCAUACAUUUUAUAAUCCUUUCUUUUCCAUUUUUCUACCAAGAAAUCAGAUUGAUUAUAUUCUUUGCAUGUGUUAAGUGAGUGAAUCAGUGAAUGAAUGAGUAUCUAGUGAAGAAAGGCCUGGGGAAUCAUUUUAAAAGUACACAUUUUGCUGGUUAGGAUCUGAGGUAAACAGACAUGAAAAGUGCAAUGAAGACAGACAUCCUGUUGAGAAGGAAAGCUCUGGGCGAAGAGAUGAAUACUUCGAACCUUCCAAUAUAGAAAAUUAAGCCUCACAAGGAUUACUGUGUUGAAUUAUAUUUGACCUUUAAUCUCAAAUGCCAUUAAAAGCAACAUAAGCAAAAAAAGAAUGUUGGACUCUUCACUUCAUGUGCUGUCUGACAAACUAUUUAUACUUUUCAUUUGAAGUUCAAUAAAGCUCUCUUUGUUCUCUUA